rnacentral:rRNA from 1 species
UACGGGGGGGAGCAAGCGUUGUUCGGAUUUACUGGGCGUAAAGGGCGCGUAGGCGGCGUAACAAGUCACUUGUGAAAUCUCCGGGCUUAACCCGGAGCGGCCAAGUGAUACUGUUGUGCUAGAGUGCAGAAGGGGCAACUGGAAUUCUCGGUGUAGCGGUGAAAUGCGCAGAUAUCGGGAGGAACACCAAUGGCGAAGGCAGCUCGCUGGGACGGUACUGACGCUGAGACGCGAAAGCGUGGGGAGCAAACAGG